UGAGAAUGAUCUGCCGGCAACGGUUUGAUUUAUUGAUUUUCGGUUUUCAUAUGUGAUAUGUAUUUGGCUUCCGAAAAAUUUUAAAAGUGCAAAACUAUUUUCCGCUGCGUUUUUCUGAUGUGUCGGUUAUUUUCUAACAUCGACAACCUCCGAGCCUACCUGCAAAUCAUCAACGACGCCUCCAUUCUAGGGCUCAAUCAUGACAUCGCGGAUCACCCCUUUGAGCUCUUCAGGGACUGCUCCUCCGCCAUUUGCCUGAGGAAUCACAGUGUCGAGGCCCUCGCUACCGCUGCGCUCGUGCAGGCGAUCUGGGAGGCGCAGGAGCCGAGGACUCUGGGGAAACUUCUUGAUAUAUACCGGAAGCAGAAGACACUUUCAUCCUUUGACACAAAACCUGAGGGCCUUGAGGAAGUUCCUUCUAUUACAUUUUCUAGCACGGUGACACCACUGGCCUUUCUUGCACCUGAGGCAGAUGAAGAGGCUCUUUUAGAGGACAUCUGGAAAGGAAAGGUCACAAGCAGUGAAGAAAACUAUUCAAGCAAUGACCAGAUGAAGGGAGUUGAUGACUUGGGGGACAAACAUAUGGUGAAAUAUCUUCCAGCUUCAUCGAAGGAUCCUCUGCAGAUUCUGGAGUAGGGGAAAGCAAGGAUAAACUGAACUCUUUGACUUCUGGCUUGGAUAAAGAUGAUAUAGCUCCAGCAGUUUCAGAAAGUGAUGUUUGUAUGGAUUCCGAGGAGAAAGUCAUUGAGGAUGUAAAUUCUGAUUUUGUAUAGAACAUGAAGUUAGAUUGCUUGGAGUCAAGUUCUUCUUUUGAUGUUAGUGCUAAGCUACCUGAUGAUUCCAAUUUACUGUUCGAUACUCCAUUCAUCGACAGCACUCCAAAACCCACCAAAUUCUAUCAAAAUUCUGUUUCUGAAGUAAAGUCCUUAGAGGAUGAUAAUUUUUAUCAAAAUUCUGUUUCAAACGAUUCUAAUGUGCGGUACAAGAAAGAUGUUAGAAUGGUACCAACUGAUAGUUUCACAGAUACUUUAUGCACAAGCAAGACAUUAGAACGAUAUCAACGUUGCUGUUACAAUUCUCAGGAUUCAAGUGCUAGUGAUCGUGAGACUCAGGUCUUCCACAUGGAUAGAAAUGACUAUUAUGGUGGAGAGUCUUGCUCACUCAAUCUCUUCCAGCUUUGGAAAAGAUUUAGAGGUAAUGAUACCCCCCUGCACAUCUGGGACCGAGCAGAGAUUACAAUGUAGACAUGAUUCCAAAGUUCAACAUUAUACAUCAAGAUGCUGAUAUAACAUUAUACAUCAAGAUGCUGAUAUGAUGCCACUAAUCAUUUUAAGAUUAUUCUUCUUAAGCUCGGGGAUCUUUUCUAUUGGAAUCUUCACUCUUUAAGGAUGAGUCUUCGUGAACUGUAGUUUGAACUUCUCUAUUGUAGCGCAUAGAACUUUCGCCUAUAAAACUUUUUAAUUACAUAUUAGUCUUCUUGUAAUUCGAAUUUUUUUUAGCUAUCUAAUGUUUGAUUGAUAUUUAUUUGUACUCGCAACACUUUUGAGAAUGUAAUAAACUUUUGAGCUGUGAAAUUGAAGAAAUCGAGUUCUUCAAA